rfam:TPA: Bos taurus chromosome 18, whole genome shotgun sequence.
UCCCUAGUGGUCCAGUGGUUAGGACUCUGCACUCUGAUUGCCAAGGUUCCAGGUUCAAUCCCUGGUCAGGGAA